rnacentral:RNase_MRP_RNA from 9 species
GACGGCUCGUGUCGAGUAUUUCCGAUUACAGAAAGAUAUGCAAGCUGCACGGAAGCAACGAGACUGACUACCAGAUGGGGCUUAC